rnacentral:misc_RNA from 1 species
GGAAGUAAAAGUCGUAAUAAGGUUUCCGUAGGUGAACCUGCGGAAGGAUCAUUAUUGAAACUUCAUCCGGGGCGCCGCGGCCCUCAGCACCGGUGGAAACGCCGUGCUGCGGGGGCCGCGCGUGCACUCGUCCAAACCAAACCCCUGUGAACCUUACGGGAUGGCCCGGGUUAGCGCCCGGUGCCGUUCCGCUUUAUACAAACACUUAUCAAAGAAUGAACUGAAGGCGGUCUGACCGCUGGAUAACAAACUGAAACAACUUUCAACAACGGAUCUCUUGGCUCUC